UGCGGAUGUGGCGGAACUGGCAGACGCGCUAGAUUUAGGUUCUAGUAUCGUACGAUGUGCAGGUUCGAUUCCUGUCAUCCGCAU
rnacentral:tRNA from 1 species